AAAUGCAAAUUUGGAGGGAAUCUGGAGCAUCAGGGAGGGUAAAUGUUUGUAUUUCUUGGACAAUUAUAUUUCGGUGCAAUUUGAGAUCAUCUAAACAAAAAAGCUCCUGUUGUGUAAAGAAACAUAGGAGAUGAGCUCCAUUUGACUUCAUGGUGUCUCAGUAACUUCAGAAGCUGUGAGACCACCUGAAGGGACCACUGGAUCCAGCCUUCUCAUUUGGUGAGAAGGUCAAAAUCUGGGGAUGCUGUGUCCAAGGUCAAUGGCAGAGCUGAAACUAGCACCAGGGUCUCUUGCUAAGAGAAACCUAAGUGAGACCGUUUCUCUAGUACGUCAUUCUCACCUUGCAGGUAGAGAGAGACAAAGCACUCUCAUCUCUCAGGGGGCACAAAUUAACAACUGCUGAGCCCGCUGGUGAUUGUUAGCGGAAGUUCCUGGUCACCAACCUUUUCCCAGGAAAAGCUGUUCUAGAGUCUCCAAGAACUACCUGACACAGGGAUCCAGAUGGGAACAGGCUGCCUUAAACGGAUGAAGGUUCCUCCUCUGUCCCAGGGACCAUGCUGGACUUCAAAGAAUAUGCAAAGAUGAAUAAGGACAUGUUCUGUGUCAGCUUCCAGGCCGGAAACUUUCCCUCUUCAUGACACUCAAAGCAGCAUGGAAGAAGGAUGCGUAGAUAUAGAAGACAGAACGACAGUGUAUAGCUGAUGUCACAGCUUAAUUAAAUAAUUGCACUUUGGAGAUUA